rnacentral:rRNA from 1 species
ACGCUCGACACCUACGGGGAGGCAGCAGUGAGGAAUAUUGGUCAACGGACGCAAGUCUGAACCAGCCAUGCCGCGUGCAGGAUGACGGCUCUAUGAGUUGUAAACUGCUUUUGUACGAGGGUAAACGCAGAUACGUGUAUCUGUCUGAAAGUAUCGUACGAAUAAGGAUCGGCUAACUCCGUGCCAACAGCCGCGGUAAUCUGAGCGGGCUGGCAAGGC